CGGCAACGGAUAUCUCGGCUCUCGCAUCGAUGAAGAACGUAGCGAAAUGCGAUACUUGGUGUGAAUUGCAGAAUCCCGUGAACCAUCGAGUCUUUGAACGCAAGUUGCGCCCGAAGCCUUCUGGCCGAGGGCACGUCUGCCUGGGCGUCACGCAU
rnacentral:rRNA from 1 species